rnacentral:tRNA from 1 species
GGGGGUGUAGCUCAAUGGUAGAGCCCUUGCCUAGCAUGCAUGAGGCCCUGAGUUCCAUCCCCG